rnacentral:lncRNA from 1 species
AAGAGGAAUGAAAGCUUUGAAGAUAUAUUUGUGCAGAUGUUUUUAGCUGGCUUUGGAGUGCUUAAUUGCUGGCCCAUCUAUGAAGCCAUGUUAUUGAGAAGGGAUAAAGGAAGGAUGCCAUUAAAGAUAACUUUAUUAUCAACCUUCCUAGCAUGGCUUGUUUAUCUGAUAUCCUCUUCAGCCUUUUGAAAACUAGUAUUGUUUUGUAUCUUGAUUCUAGGACAAUGCUCUCCGGGUGGAGAUAGUAUCGUUUUGUGCAAUUCUUGUAUUGUAUCUUCAAGAUCAUACUACAAUACUUGAGUAUCGUCUCUUUUAUAUAUACAUUUUAAAUAAAUUAGGGUCAUUAUAUUUUUUUUCUUAUGUUCUGUUGGAUGUUAUGGAUAAAUAGAUGUUCAUAUUUGAUUUGAUUGAAUUUUGAAACGUACCAUAGGAGCGUUUCAAUUCAACCUUUCUCAAAGCAAUCUAUUUGUAUUCAUAUAAGCAGCGAGCAUGCUAUUAACUAUGUCAGCUGCGUUCAGUUUCAGACUCCAAUUACUAUCAAGUCACCGGGCAGAAAGACGUGGCCAUUCCUUUUAGCAGUGUUUACACCAUUUUAGAGUUUUGGUGUUGGGUUGGAGAUGAUAUCAUGCAUCUCUGCCUCUUUUAACACCUCUUCGACUGAUUUCCUUCUCAGACCCCCUCAUUUGCUUCUCUGGACUCUUUAAUUCAGUCUUUAAGAUUGCAAGGCAGUCUUCUACAGAGUCAGAAGUGCAAACCUUCAUAGAGAAGCUACAAACAAAGAACUAAUUCCAGUAACAGGUGUUCAAUAACUUGUGAAUUAAAUCUUAGAGAGUAAAGAAUGAACUCUCAAAAUGCAUCACAAGAAGUAGAAGCACUUUAAAAAAGCUGAGAAUGCUAACUUGUCUCUCACAACUUCUGAUUCUUUUCCAAACACUUUAUUAACUUAUUUAUUUCUAACGUCUACUCCACUUCUUUAAUUUAAUCAAGAAGUGACUUCUUUUAAGUUAACCCAAACGGCCCAAUAAUCUCUUAGAACGUCUCUCCAAGAAAUCUUGGUUAAAAUUCACUAAUACAUACCAUAAAUAAAAAUAGAGGCUAUGUACAAAACAAUUCAACUCCAAUGAGACCUUCCCCUUAUAUAUAAUUAUAGCCAACCUUUAUUGAUGUAGCAAGAUUUUACAUCAUUUAUUACUAUAUUAAAACAUUAUAUUAUAUUUACACAACUUGAAAUAAUAAUUAUACACUUUUUUAAAAUAUAGCCGAUCAAAAUAGUUAGUACCAUUAAAACACAAUAUUUUACAGGUUCCACAAAUUUUAUAUAAUAUCUUGCGAUCAAAUUUAACUAAUCAGUUACAGACUUAUAGUCAAUACUAUUAUACUAUUGUAGAUGCUAUUUAAUUAAUUAGUUAUAAUCAAUAGUAUUCUAGAUGCUAAAGUCCUGUUUACCAAGUAUUUUUUAACCAACACAAUUGCAGAUCCUCUUAUAAUUACAGUCUAUGAUUUGUUGGAAUUAGGAAUCGACGAUCACUUCAAGAUUUGGAAAUGUUAUACCCGCUCCAAUCUCCAAACGGAUACAAGCCGUCCCGAAUGAGGACUAGAGAUCUCUGCGGAGAUUCGAGAAAUUUGUCUUUUCUAAAAAAAAUUAUAUUAUAAUAUAUGAUCUUUGAUUAAAAUUAUUUUAGUAAGUUGUCAUAAUAUACAAUGUUUUUAGUUAUAUUUUGAGUACCAAUUCGAAUAAUACUCAUUUAUAAUAAAAAUAAAAGAGUAGAUUUAAUAUAAUUUGUUUGUAUUAUAAUAUGAAAUGAUUUAAUCAAUGUGAUGAAAGAGAUUAUUUAAAUUUUCAUAUAUAUAUAUAUAUAUAUAUAUAUAUAUAUAUAUUUAUCAUUAAUAUUUUGUAUAAUAUAAUAUACAUAAAUAUAUUCAUAUUAUAUAUGAAAAUCGGGAAAUUUCAAGACGGUUCGCGACCAGAAAAUAUUAAUUUUUGAAUCCGUCCCGAUCUCCGAAUUCUGGUAUAUAAUUUUUUUCCAAUCUCUAUCCCGUACUCGAGAGAAUCUCUUAUUUAUGAUUUCGUGCCGAACGGCCCGAACCUGAUAAACGAAAAAAUAGGUGGUCUUUUCUGGAAUCGAGCGGGACAGACUGGAUCGGGUCGGUCAGAUGGGACAGGGACACGUCCUCAGUUGACAUCAGGCUUAAAACUAGGGGUGUAAACAAACCAAACUGUUGGUGAGCUACUCGAGCUCGGCUCGUAAAAUAUUCGGAUUUGAUUCGGUAGUAAUCAAGCCGAGCUCGAGAUCGAGCUAUUUGGAUGUUUUACCGAGCUGAGCUCGAGCUUCAAAUUACUCGGCUCCUAAGGUUCGCGAGCCUUAUCGAGCCUCUACUAUUAUUUAAUCUUUUUUAUUAUAAAUAUAUUUUUACAAAUAUAUUUAAUAUUUUAUUUAUAAAUCAUAUAUUUAAUCGAAUCGAACUCGAGCCAAACCGAUCAUAUUUCGAGUUUUUGUCAAUAUUUAGUGUCUCGAUUCGAGAUUCCGAGCUGAACUCGAGCCUAUCAAACUGUUUACGAGCCGAGUUUCGAACUUGAAAUUAAAGCCUCGGUCGAACUCGAACUCGAGCUCGAGCCCCGAACUUUUCAAUUGAGUUCGAGCCGAGCCUGACAGUGUUCUACUUGUCUCGGCUUGAUUACACCCCUACUCAGAACUCAGAAGAAAGCCAGUAUAAUAUGAUCGCCCACCACGUUUUUUUUCCCUGUCAUCAAUUGCUAGAGCUCAGUGCACCUGAAGCUCAACCAUAUAUGACCAUAUCAUAUUAAUGACUGUUGCAAUCAACCAUUUGUGAUCUUUGUCUGUACAGGGACAGCACUUGGAAAUAAUAAAUCCUCUUUUUCUUUUCUUUGUUUUCCUUCUUUUCCAAAUCAUAUAAAUCGUUUUUAUUAUCACUAACACAAUCAAAACAGACUGCUGCAAUAUCACAAUGUAAUAGUUGAACACCAGUAGCAAUAGCAACUACAAUUGUGUUAAAUUGAAGUAGGCCGAGGUCCUUACAUUCCCUAUAGGCAGACUAUUUCCGCCAACAUAAAAAGUCAAACUUAAUCAGAGAGAUCCAGAAUUCAAAUUUUAUUUUGUCGUAUCAGUAACAACUAGGGAGGUGUUUGGUUCAUGGUUAAUGAGCCCGGUUAACGGGAAUCGGAACCUUAAUCCCAUAACAAGUGUUUGGAUUAGUUAUUUGAUGCUAUGGAAUGAGAACCUCAAUCUUUUAAGGUGGUUAAAUCAUACCCUUCCCACCCCUUGGGGUUACCAUACCAUUCCCAUUCCCGAUUCCUAUUCCCAACCUCAAUCCAAACGCCCUAAGAACUUGAUAUCGACAAUUAUGUUCACCUAAAUCAGUUAUAUCUAAACUCCGCGCCUCAGCCUCAUGUCGAGUGGGCCUAUUGGAUCCCUUGCUAACGUAGUACCACCUUCUAGCUAUUUACUUCAUUUGGUCCUGCAAAUCCAAAUAUAGUUGAAAGCAAUAAAUUGGAUAUGAACAAUUUCUCAGUACUGGAGAUCAGAUUAUAGGUUUUGCUCUUGCGUACCAUUGUACAUAACUAAUAAGCUUGAUUAAACUGUGGUGAAUUGAAUUGAGAUUUUAAAAGAUAUUUUUUUUUUCAUUUGUGAAAUCUUGGAUAUUCAACUUUGAUUUUAAAAAAUUGUAACAGAAUCUUGAGGUAUUCAAUUAAGAUUUUAAAAUAUACUAUAAAAUCUGGUGAUAUUCAAUAAAGAUUUUAAAUUAUGCUUAAAAAUCCAAUAGUAUUCGAUUGUGAUUAUUUAAACUUCAUUAAAAUCUGAUGAAUAUUAAAUGAUUUUUUUGGAUUUCAUCGAAUGAUGGAUUUUGUGAGAUUGUUCAGUGUAUUUUAAUUAUUUGAUAUCCCACCAAAAUCCACGAGAUAUUAAAGCAUUGUGCUUAAAUCUUAAAGAUUCGACAACAUUUUAUCAAAAAUCCGCAUCAGAUACAACCCACAAAAAUUCAUAGACUAUAUAAAUUCAUUAAAAUACCAGUUGAACACGACCUCUAAUCCUUGUUUAGAACCAUUACUAGCUGCAAGUCUGCAGCUCAAAGCGAGCCACUAAACUCAGAUGAGCAAACAAGGCAUUUCCAUGGAGAAGGUGCGGUCCAGUGCUGGGCUUCUGCAUACGAAGUCACCCUUGCGUCGCACUUGGUUCAACCGUGUGUUUGCAGUCACAUACCUCAUACCGAUAUGUGCACUGAUGUAUCAUCACUGCCAUAACAUUAUUACUAGUACUGAUCAACUUACCAAGAGAAACACUAUAAUUUUUUUGGUAGCUGAUUCCAUUCUGGCCUUUAUGUGGAUAACUCGGCAGGCAUUUCGCAUCUCGCCCAUCCGUCGCCAGGUAUUUCCCGAGAACCUGACAGAGGAUGAGAGAGAAUAUCCAGCUCUGGACGUGUUUGUAUGCACUGCUGAUCCGUACAAGGAGCCACCAAUAGGCGUGGUGAACACCGUGUUGUCCCUGAUGGCUUAUGAUUAUCCGAGGGAGAAAUUGUCUGUCUAUGUAUCGGAUGAUGGAGGAUCACAGCUCACACUGUUUGCUCUGAUGGAAGCUGCUGAGUUUGCUAAACAUUGGCUCCCGUACUGCAAGAAACACGACAUACUUGACAGGUCACCCGAGGCCUAUUUUACAUUACAGACUAAUUUUGGUUUCCCAGAGACCGGUGCUGCUGCAAAAUAUGAUCAAAUUAAGGUACUUCUAAGCCAACCAUCUAAACUUUUUUUUUUUUGGAAAUUUAUCAAUGCUGACUCAUGGAUUGUUGAAGGUUAUGUACGAAAGGAUGAAAUUGAGGAUAAAUGANAUGAACCCUCUCCAAGCCUUCUGCUUUGGACACUAUGCGAUUUGGCCCAUUUGGUCGAUUCCUCUUAUUAUCUAUUCCUUCUUGCCUCAGCUCGCUCUAAUCAAUUCUUCACAUGCUAUUUUCCCAAAGGUAAGCUAAAAACUGCACUACUACAGGGUCGAUCAAGUUCAAAUUUUGUAACGUGAAGAGUUGGUACACAGUAUAAAUAGGUAUUCAUAGUAGUUUAAUUAUUUUUGCUCUAAUUAUGAUGUCAGGUGACAGAUCCUUGGCUGUUUUUCUUGUAUGUGUUUCUUUUCCUUGGUUCAUAUGUGCAACAUCUUCUCGAAUAUGUUACAUUUGGAUCUCCAGCCAAAAGGUGGUGGAACAGUCAGAGAGUGUGGAUGAUGAGAGCACUUUCAAGCUUUCCAUUUGCAUUGAUUGAAUAUAUACUAGAAUGCUGGGGAGUAUCAUCGUUUGGGUUCAAUGUGACUAGCAAGGUACUUGAUAGUGAACAAAGCAAACGUAACGCAGAAUGUAUGUUUGAAUUCGGAGUGCCUUCUCCACUUUUUGUUCCAAUAAAUAUGGCGGCAAUGAUCAACUUGUGGGCGUUUUUACAUGGGAUAAAACAAGUGAUUAAGAGGAAUGAAAGCUUUGAAGAUAUAUUUGUGCAGAUGUUUUUAGCUGGCUUUGGAGUGCUUAAUUGCUGGCCCAUCUAUGAAGCCAUGUUAUUGAGAAGGGAUAAAGGAAGGAUGCCAUUAAAGAUAACUUUAUUAUCAACCUUCCUAGCAUGGCUUGUUUAUCUGAUAUCCUCUUCAGCCUUUUGAAAACUAGUAUUGUUUUGUAUCUUGAUUCUAGGACAAUGCUCUCCGGGUGGAGAUAGUAUCGUUUUGUGCAAUUCUUGUAUUGUAUCUUCAAGAUCAUACUACAAUACUUGAGUAUCGUCUCUUUUAUAUAUACAUUUUAAAUAAAUUAGGGUCAUUAUAUUUUUUUUCUUAUGUUCUGUUGGAUGUUAUGGAUAAAUAGAUGUUCAUAUUUGAUUUGAUUGAAUUUUGAAACGUACCAUAGGAGCGUUUCAAUUCAACCUUUCUCAAAGCAAUCUAUUUGUAUUCAUAUAAGCAGCGAGCAUGCUAUUAACUAUGUCAGCUGCGUUCAGUUUCAGACUCCAAUUACUAUCAAGUCACCGGGCAGAAAGACGUGGCCAUUCCUUUUAGCAGUGUUUACACCAUUUUAGAGUUUUGGUGUUGGGUUGGAGAUGAUAUCAUGCAUCUCUGCCUCUUUUAACACCUCUUCGACUGAUUUCCUUCUCAGACCCCCUCAUUUGCUUCUCUGGACUCUUUAAUUCAGUCUUUAAGAUUGCAAGGCAGUCUUCUACAGAGUCAGAAGUGCAAACCUUCAUAGAGAAGCUACAAACAAAGAACUAAUUCCAGUAACAGGUGUUCAAUAACUUGUGAAUUAAAUCUUAGAGAGUAAAGAAUGAACUCUCAAAAUGCAUCACAAGAAGUAGAAGCACUUUAAAAAAGCUGAGAAUGCUAACUUGUCUCUCACAACUUCUGAUUCUUUUCCAAACACUUUAUUAACUUAUUUAUUUCUAACGUCUACUCCACUUCUUUAAUUUAAUCAAGAAGUGACUUCUUUUAAGUUAACCCAAACGGCCCAAUAAUCUCUUAGAACGUCUCUCCAAGAAAUCUUGGUUAAAAUUCACUAAUACAUACCAUAAAUAAAAAUAGAGGCUAUGUACAAAACAAUUCAACUCCAAUGAGACCUUCCCCUUAUAUAUAAUUAUAGCCAACCUUUAUUGAUGUAGCAAGAUUUUACAUCAUUUAUUACUAUAUUAAAACAUUAUAUUAUAUUUACACAACUUGAAAUAAUAAUUAUACACUUUUUUAAAAUAUAGCCGAUCAAAAUAGUUAGUACCAUUAAAACACAAUAUUUUACAGGUUCCACAAAUUUUAUAUAAUAUCUUGCGAUCAAAUUUAACUAAUCAGUUACAGACUUAUAGUCAAUACUAUUAUACUAUUGUAGAUGCUAUUUAAUUAAUUAGUUAUAAUCAAUAGUAUUCUAGAUGCUAAAGUCCUGUUUACCAAGUAUUUUUUAACCAACACAAUUGCAGAUCCUCUUAUAAUUACAGUCUAUGAUUUGUUGGAAUUAGGAAUCGACGAUCACUUCAAGAUUUGGAAAUGUUAUACCCGCUCCAAUCUCCAAACGGAUACAAGCCGUCCCGAAUGAGGACUAGAGAUCUCUGCGGAGAUUCGAGAAAUUUGUCUUUUCUAAAAAAAAUUAUAUUAUAAUAUAUGAUCUUUGAUUAAAAUUAUUUUAGUAAGUUGUCAUAAUAUACAAUGUUUUUAGUUAUAUUUUGAGUACCAAUUCGAAUAAUACUCAUUUAUAAUAAAAAUAAAAGAGUAGAUUUAAUAUAAUUUGUUUGUAUUAUAAUAUGAAAUGAUUUAAUCAAUGUGAUGAAAGAGAUUAUUUAAAUUUUCAUAUAUAUAUAUAUAUAUAUAUAUAUAUAUAUAUAUUUAUCAUUAAUAUUUUGUAUAAUAUAAUAUACAUAAAUAUAUUCAUAUUAUAUAUGAAAAUCGGGAAAUUUCAAGACGGUUCGCGACCAGAAAAUAUUAAUUUUUGAAUCCGUCCCGAUCUCCGAAUUCUGGUAUAUAAUUUUUUUCCAAUCUCUAUCCCGUACUCGAGAGAAUCUCUUAUUUAUGAUUUCGUGCCGAACGGCCCGAACCUGAUAAACGAAAAAAUAGGUGGUCUUUUCUGGAAUCGAGCGGGACAGACUGGAUCGGGUCGGUCAGAUGGGACAGGGACACGUCCUCAGUUGACAUCAGGCUUAAAACUAGGGGUGUAAACAAACCAAACUGUUGGUGAGCUACUCGAGCUCGGCUCGUAAAAUAUUCGGAUUUGAUUCGGUAGUAAUCAAGCCGAGCUCGAGAUCGAGCUAUUUGGAUGUUUUACCGAGCUGAGCUCGAGCUUCAAAUUACUCGGCUCCUAAGGUUCGCGAGCCUUAUCGAGCCUCUACUAUUAUUUAAUCUUUUUUAUUAUAAAUAUAUUUUUACAAAUAUAUUUAAUAUUUUAUUUAUAAAUCAUAUAUUUAAUCGAAUCGAACUCGAGCCAAACCGAUCAUAUUUCGAGUUUUUGUCAAUAUUUAGUGUCUCGAUUCGAGAUUCCGAGCUGAACUCGAGCCUAUCAAACUGUUUACGAGCCGAGUUUCGAACUUGAAAUUAAAGCCUCGGUCGAACUCGAACUCGAGCUCGAGCCCCGAACUUUUCAAUUGAGUUCGAGCCGAGCCUGACAGUGUUCUACUUGUCUCGGCUUGAUUACACCCCUACUCAGAACUCAGAAGAAAGCCAGUAUAAUAUGAUCGCCCACCACGUUUUUUUUCCCUGUCAUCAAUUGCUAGAGCUCAGUGCACCUGAAGCUCAACCAUAUAUGACCAUAUCAUAUUAAUGACUGUUGCAAUCAACCAUUUGUGAUCUUUGUCUGUACAGGGACAGCACUUGGAAAUAAUAAAUCCUCUUUUUCUUUUCUUUGUUUUCCUUCUUUUCCAAAUCAUAUAAAUCGUUUUUAUUAUCACUAACACAAUCAAAACAGACUGCUGCAAUAUCACAAUGUAAUAGUUGAACACCAGUAGCAAUAGCAACUACAAUUGUGUUAAAUUGAAGUAGGCCGAGGUCCUUACAUUCCCUAUAGGCAGACUAUUUCCGCCAACAUAAAAAGUCAAACUUAAUCAGAGAGAUCCAGAAUUCAAAUUUUAUUUUGUCGUAUCAGUAACAACUAGGGAGGUGUUUGGUUCAUGGUUAAUGAGCCCGGUUAACGGGAAUCGGAACCUUAAUCCCAUAACAAGUGUUUGGAUUAGUUAUUUGAUGCUAUGGAAUGAGAACCUCAAUCUUUUAAGGUGGUUAAAUCAUACCCUUCCCACCCCUUGGGGUUACCAUACCAUUCCCAUUCCCGAUUCCUAUUCCCAACCUCAAUCCAAACGCCCUAAGAACUUGAUAUCGACAAUUAUGUUCACCUAAAUCAGUUAUAUCUAAACUCCGCGCCUCAGCCUCAUGUCGAGUGGGCCUAUUGGAUCCCUUGCUAACGUAGUACCACCUUCUAGCUAUUUACUUCAUUUGGUCCUGCAAAUCCAAAUAUAGUUGAAAGCAAUAAAUUGGAUAUGAACAAUUUCUCAGUACUGGAGAUCAGAUUAUAGGUUUUGCUCUUGCGUACCAUUGUACAUAACUAAUAAGCUUGAUUAAACUGUGGUGAAUUGAAUUGAGAUUUUAAAAGAUAUUUUUUUUUUCAUUUGUGAAAUCUUGGAUAUUCAACUUUGAUUUUAAAAAAUUGUAACAGAAUCUUGAGGUAUUCAAUUAAGAUUUUAAAAUAUACUAUAAAAUCUGGUGAUAUUCAAUAAAGAUUUUAAAUUAUGCUUAAAAAUCCAAUAGUAUUCGAUUGUGAUUAUUUAAACUUCAUUAAAAUCUGAUGAAUAUUAAAUGAUUUUUUUGGAUUUCAUCGAAUGAUGGAUUUUGUGAGAUUGUUCAGUGUAUUUUAAUUAUUUGAUAUCCCACCAAAAUCCACGAGAUAUUAAAGCAUUGUGCUUAAAUCUUAAAGAUUCGACAACAUUUUAUCAAAAAUCCGCAUCAGAUACAACCCACAAAAAUUCAUAGACUAUAUAAAUUCAUUAAAAUACCAGUUGAACACGACCUCUAAUCCUUGUUUAGAACCAUUACUAGCUGCAAGUCUGCAGCUCAAAGCGAGCCACUAAACUCAGAUGAGCAAACAAGGCAUUUCCAUGGAGAAGGUGCGGUCCAGUGCUGGGCUUCUGCAUACGAAGUCACCCUUGCGUCGCACUUGGUUCAACCGUGUGUUUGCAGUCACAUACCUCAUACCGAUAUGUGCACUGAUGUAUCAUCACUGCCAUAACAUUAUUACUAGUACUGAUCAACUUACCAAGAGAAACACUAUAAUUUUUUUGGUAGCUGAUUCCAUUCUGGCCUUUAUGUGGAUAACUCGGCAGGCAUUUCGCAUCUCGCCCAUCCGUCGCCAGGUAUUUCCCGAGAACCUGACAGAGGAUGAGAGAGAAUAUCCAGCUCUGGACGUGUUUGUAUGCACUGCUGAUCCGUACAAGGAGCCACCAAUAGGCGUGGUGAACACCGUGUUGUCCCUGAUGGCUUAUGAUUAUCCGAGGGAGAAAUUGUCUGUCUAUGUAUCGGAUGAUGGAGGAUCACAGCUCACACUGUUUGCUCUGAUGGAAGCUGCUGAGUUUGCUAAACAUUGGCUCCCGUACUGCAAGAAACACGACAUACUUGACAGGUCACCCGAGGCCUAUUUUACAUUACAGACUAAUUUUGGUUUCCCAGAGACCGGUGCUGCUGCAAAAUAUGAUCAAAUUAAGGUACUUCUAAGCCAACCAUCUAAACUUUUUUUUUUUUGGAAAUUUAUCAAUGCUGACUCAUGGAUUGUUGAAGGUUAUGUACGAAAGGAUGAAAUUGAGGAUAAAUGAAGUUGUCGACAGAGGGAGCAUCCAUGGAUAUGUGACAGAUGAAGAAGUGCUCAGAACUUUUGCCAUAUGGCAUAAUACACCUGGUUUCACUCCAAAAAAUCAUCCUACUGUUAUUCAGGUUCAUUUUUUCAGAUAAUCUGUUUCCUAAUAAAUAAGUUGAAUUUUAAGUUUGUACAGAAUCAUCUAAUAACUGAGCUAGACUUUUUCAAUUAAAGAAAGGAAAAAAGAAUACAAAUGCAAUACUUCACGUGAGAAAGAUAUUUCUGAAGCCAAAACUAGAUUUAGAUUUAUAACAUCCCAAGCUCAUAACUGAAUGCAUACCGGACCCAACAAUCCACCACAUGUCGGCCCAAAAGUGCUAGCAAAUUGGUAUACUAGUUAUUUGCUUGUGGUCCAAAUACAUUUUAACUAAUCUAUGUGAUGUUACAAACACCCCCUCUUAUCUUGUCGAGGACACCACCAUACAUUUUAACUAAUCGAUGUGUGAAGUUACAAACACCCCCCCUUAUCUUGUCGAGGACACCACCAUACAUUUUAACUCAUCGAUGUGUGAUGUUACAAACACCCCCCCUUAUCUUGUCGAGGACACCACCAUACAUUUNCAUGUUAUUGAGAAGGGAUAAAGGAAGGAUGCCAUUAAAGAUAACUUUAUUAUCAACCUUCCUAGCAUGGCUUGUUUAUCUGAUAUCCUCUUCAGCCUUUUGAAAACUAGUAUUGUUUUGUAUCUUGAUUCUAGGACAAUGCUCUCCGGGUGGAGAUAGUAUCGUUUUGUGC